GAUGAACGCUAGCUACAGGCUUAACACAUGCAAGUCGAGGGACCGGCGCACGGGUGAGUAACACGUAUCCAACCUGCCCUUUACUCGGGGAUAGCAUUUCGAAAGAAAGAUUAAUACCCGAUAUAAAGGAUGGGGAUGCGUUCCAUUAGGUUGGUGGUGAGGUAACGUCCAACCAAGCCUUCGAUGGAUAGGGGUUCUGAGAGGAAGUUCCCCGACUGUGGACCUGAGACACGGUCCAAAUGCCUACGUGAGGCAGCAGUGAUGAAUAUUGGUCAAUGGGCGCUAGCCUGAACCAGCCAAGUAGCGUGAAGGAUGAAGGCUUAUGGGUCGUAAACUUCUUUUAUAUAAGAAUAUGUAUUAUAUGAAUAAGGAUCGGCUAACUCCGUGCCAGCAGCCGCGGUAAUUC
rnacentral:rRNA from 1 species